rnacentral:rRNA from 1 species
UACGUAGGGGGCUAGCGUUGUCCGGAUUUAUUGGGCGUAAAGAGCGUGUAGGCGGCCAGGUAGGUCGGCUGUGAAAACUCGAGGCUCAACCUCGAGCUGUCGGUGGAAACCGUGUGGCUAGAGUCCGGAAGAGGAGAGUGGAAUUCCCGGUGUAGCGGUGAAAGGCGCAGAUAUCGGGAAGAACACCCGUGGCGAAGGCGGCUCUCUGGGACGGUACUGACGCUGAGACGCGAAAGCGUGGGGAGCGAACAGG